UCCCUAGUGGUGUAGCGGUAACAUAGCCGUCUUUCAUCCAAUCAGCUUGGAGAACACGGCCGCCCGGGGUUCGACUCCCCGCUAGGGAA
rnacentral:tRNA from 1 species